UUGCAACCUGUUUUAUAAUCAAAUUUACGGCUCCUAUGGUUCUUUAUUGUAGCUUACAUCCCAAAGAAGUAAUGGUUUUUUUCGAAACUUGCAUGUGUUUUAUAUUAUGUCUCAUCACUUUAGCGAAAUAUAUUGCAGCUGUGAUUAAUUUCUCCAGGGUGAAGGCUCUGUUGUUGACUAUCGACGAGGUGAAGAAAUAAUUU